GACGAACGCUGGCGGCGUGCUUAACACAUGCAAGUCGAACGGAAAGGCCCUGCUUUUGUGGGGUGCUCGAGUGGCGAACGGGUGAGUAACACGUGAGUAACCUGCCCUUGACUUUGGGAUAACUUCAGGAAACUGGGGCUAAUACCGGAUAGGAGCUCCUGCUGCAUGGUGGGGGUUGGAAAGUUUCGGCGGUUGGGGAUGGACUCGCGGCUUAUCAGCUUGUUGGUGGGGUAGUGGCUUACCAAGGCUUUGACGGGUAGCCGGCCUGAGAGGGUGACCGGCCACAUUGGGACUGAGAUACGGCCCAGACUCAUACGGGAGGCAGCAGUGGCGAAUAUUGCACAAUGGGCGGAAGCCUGAUGCAGCAACGCCGCGUGCGGGAUGACGGCCUUCGGGUUGUAAACCGCUUUCGCCUGUGACGAAGCGUGAGUGACGGUAAUGGGUAAAGAAGCACCGGCUAACUACGUG
rnacentral:rRNA from 1 species